UUCUCAUCUCAUGUAUUAUCAUGUUAUCAUACAAUUAUGCAAACACAGGGUGAACAUCUGCAAUUAAAUUUUGCAUGACUAGCAGCUUAGUAGGUCACCAUAUAUGAAUACAAGUGGCCUGGUGUCAUUGAUCUCCUCAACAUAUUCACAUUUCAUACUCCAAAUACUUUUGAACAUUCUUGACUCUUCUUCUUCUUCUUCUUCUUAUUCUUCAAAGAAAUGAAAAUGUCACACCCCAUAAGCCAAGCUAAUGAGAAUAGCCCAUACGGAGACCUCACUCGAGAAGAAUUUUACAAGAAGCAUCAAAUCAUUCACGAAGAAAGCUUCAUGCUUAACGAAAGGAAAAUGAAACUCUUCACCCAAACAUGGCGCCCUGAAUAUUGUGCCAACAACAACCACCUCCACCACCAGCAGUUCAAAGGGCUUGUAGCAAUGGUUCAUGGCUACGCUGCUGACAGCAGCUGGAUAUCUGAGCUCACUGCUGUAGCCAUAGCCAAACUCGGGUUCUUAGUUUGUGCACUUGAUCUUCAAGGCCAUGGCCAAUCUGAUGGCUACCCUGGUCACAUCCCUAACAUUCAACACAUUAUUCAAGAUUGCACACAAUUUUUUGACUCAGUCAAAUCCCAAAACCCUAAACUGCCUUCAUUUCUCUACGGCGAAUCGCUGGGAGGAGCCAUUUGCAUUCUUAUAUCUCUACAUCAAAAAUAUGGAUGGGAUGGUUUGAUUUUGAAUGGCUCAAUGUGUGGCAUUUCAUCAAAAUUCAAACCCACAAGGCCACUAGAGAAGCUGCUUCCUGUUGCUGCGUUAUUUGCACCGACUUGGAAAGUCGUUGUCACAAAGCCUGUGGCUAGUAAGUCAUUCAAGGAGGAAUGGAAGAGGAGAUUGGUGGCCAAAAACCCUAAUCGGAGGAGCUCAGGGAAGCCUCCAGCUGCGACUGCAUUGGAGUUUUUGAGGGUUUGUAAGUAUAUAGGGACGCAUUGCCACGAGCUAGAGGUUCCAUUGAUAAUUUUGCAUGGGGAAGAUGACGUUGUAUGUGAUCCUGAGGCUGAUAGGUUUGUGUAUGAAUCAGCUGCGAGCAAGAACAAAACAUUGAAGAUUUUGCAUGGGAUGUGGCAUAUGUUGAUUGGUGAGACUGGGGAAAAUGUGGAGCUUGUGUUUGGAACUAUUUUUUCUUGGAUACAAGAGAGGGCAGUCAAAGAUUUUCUUCGAACUAUUUCAUCAUCUAUCUUUAAGGUUCUAUACAUGAAGUUGAAAUGAUGCUCAAGUUCAGUUCAUUAUAUAUUUAUGUACUUUUAACCAAUAUUAAUGAAAAUUAAUCGGUAAUCUAAUGUGAUACUUUUGCCCUUUGCAUAUUCAUCAUCAUUACCUAAUUUAGUUAUUGUCUAAAUUAAAGAGUAAUUAUUAAUUGACUGAUCAAGUUAUUCUUCUUUUAAUUGAAGACUAAUCUCUAACUAGCUAGUGAGUUCAUGGUAUUAACAUCCACACACACAAAAAUCUGCCUUAAUUAAAAAAUUGAAUUUAUGUUUUUGAGAUUCAAUAAUCCACUGUAUGUAUUGAAGUUUGAAGAAGAUAAAAAACAAAAAAGGUUAUUCAUAUUCUCAAAUAAAAAAAUUUCGGCUUAAAAAAGAAAAGAAAAAAGGUUAUUCAAAGCAAAUCCUCUCAAAAGCAGGUUGUGUAAAUAGAUGGGCCUGGUGAUUCACAAUUAUUGCGCCAUACGAAGCCCACUCUAAAUUUGAAAACCCAUCACAAUAGCAUCCCUCUCGCUCUCAUAUACAAAUCUACCUAUAAAAUCAUUUUUCCUAGAUCAUAUACAGUGAAAUUAAUAUAUAUUUUACUAUUUCCUUUUUAAAGGUUUGGAUGGAAAUGAGAAAUCUAAUCCACUAAACACUAACCACUUUCUUUAUAACUAUUUGAACUUAAGUAAUUGCAAACUCAAAAUACAUUUACAGAGAACUAAGUUAUGCAUAAGGGACAUUUUUUUUUUCUUACCAUAAUAACAAUCUUAAUUAAUUUUUAUCAAUUUUAAGUUUUAUCAUGAAAACACCUGAUAUAUGUGAACUUAUAUAAAGAUUGAUUUGAGCUGCUCAUAUUUUUACUAGGUUGUUAUUUGUAAUCUUAAUAUUUGAGUUCUAACUGCUAUUGUCACUCAUUGAAUAUAUAAUGAAUUUCUUAACUUAUAAUAUUAUCAUUUUACCGUUUAAUGAAUUAAUAACGCAUCAAUUGAGAUUUAAAUAUUAUAAUUCAUUACAUUACUUAAAUCUCAACUACACUCAUACGUGGCACAUUACCUUUACAAAUAUCUAAAUUGUUAUUUUCUCACUUUUUUAUAAUUGAAGGUUAGGAGGUAAAAAUAAUAACACAAGAAUCAAAUAACCUUAGUUGUCGGUGGGAUUUCAAUAGAUGAUCAUCGCGUGCUACAUGCCACACGAGCUCUUUGCUUUACUUAGAUCCUCACAAGUCACAAUAACACAUCAAACAAACCAAAAAAAAAAAAAAAAAAAAAAGGUCAGGACAUUGAGCUGCUUCAUUAAUUAAUACACUGCACGGAUUAUUGCCCCUAAUUUAAAGCUAGCAUUGAUGAAAUCCAAUGUACUCAAUCUAUUACAAUUUUAAGUUUUCUACAUAUAUAUAUAUAUAGCUUUAUUUGCGAAAACAUUUUUUUCCCAAACAUAAAAAUUAUAAUUGUAAUUAAAAUGUUAAUAUAAGAAAAAAAUAAUAUAAGAUUGAUUCAUUUAAUCUCUUUGAAUAAAAAUUAAGCUUUUGGGUAAAAAUAUAUGUAGCAUAAAUAAAUUAGUAUGAAAUUUUAAAAUAGGUGGUAUAUCUUCAAUAAAUUAGCAUUAACAACAAUGUCAUAAUUUGAGUAAAUUUGUCCCUUGUUAAAUCUUUUUCAGAUUCAUUCAAGUAGCUCAUCACUUGUAAUUGUCUAAAUUAAUGUUUUGAAGUAGCUCAUCACUUGUAAUUGUCUAAAUUAAUGUUUGUAAGUCAUCAUUUAAUAUGAUCAUACCCGAUUGCUCUGGUUUGUAAUACAAUAUGGCCAGACAUACUUUCAAACACAAAUACCCCACAACACUCACCCACGUGCUUUUAAGAAAAUAAUAUACAAAUAUUCAAAUAAUAUGUUGGACUUAUCCAAUUUUUCCAUUUAGAAGAAAUUUCAAGAGAAUAAGAAAUAUAAAAAUCAAUAUCUUUAUGUAGAUCUAUAAAUAGUAGUUCAAAUCCACAUAAACAAUGAUUUCACAAUUUUUUUUAAGAUUAAAAGAAAACACGAAUGGUGGAUAAGAAAAAUAAAAUAACACAUGAAAAAUAAGAAGAAAAAAUUGUUUGGAAAGUGUUGGAAUGCAGUGAUUUUCUUAUUGAGAGAUGAGAGGAAAUGUUAGAUGAACCAUAAAAAUGCUAUGGAUGACCCCCCCCACCGGAAGAGAAAGAAUUAACCAAAUAAAAAAAAAGUUACUUGAAGAUUUUUGAUAUUGGAAUAAAAAAAAAAGGUUUUUUUUAUUUUGUAGAAUACCUAAAAUAUGUUAACUUAUAUUUUCUCAAUUAUAACUAUCAAGUGGACUCUAUUUUAUUUUGAAUCUCAUACCAAAUUGAAGUAUUAAAUGUAACCAUUAAUAAGGAUAAUAAAUAUAUAUUUUAUAUUUUCAAAAAUAAAAUAUUAAGUAAAUAACUCACUCAUCCUUCUUUCACUUAAAAUUUUUUAUGCUAAGAAAUUAUUACUAUUAUAAAAAUAUUAAAAAAAUUAAUCGUACUUAUUAAUUUAAAUAAAAAGAAAACUGAUAAUCUCUCGUAAUUUAUUUGAGUCUCAAACCAAAUUGAAAUAUUAAAUGUAACCAUUAAUUAGGUGCCUGGACGUACAUUUGACAGCUGAGUUGAUGACACUUCCUCUACGGUUCUCUCUCUUUUUUUUUUUCUUUUUUUUUUGAAAUAUUAGUUAUAUAUUUCGUCUUCUCAUAUAUUAUCAUGUUACAUACAAUUACGCAAACACACAGUGAAUGUCUCGAAUUAAAUUUUGCAUGAAAAGUAGCUUCGUAGGUCACCGUGUAUAAAUACAAGUGGCCUGGUGUCGUCUCGUCAUCAUACUCACAUUUCACAUUCCAAGUACUUUUGAACAUUCUUCUUCUUCUGCUUCAAAGAAAUGAAAAUGUCACACCCCAUAAGCCAAGCUAAUGAGAAUAGCCCAUACGGAGACCUCACUCGAGAAGAAUUUUACAAGAAGCAUCAAAUAAUUCACGAAGAGAGCUUCAUGCUUAACAAAAGGAAAAUGAAACUCUUCACUCAAACAUGGCGCCCUGAAUACUGUGCCAACAACAACCACCUCCACCACCAGCAGUUCAAAGGGCUUGUAGCAAUGGUUCAUGGCUA
rnacentral:lncRNA from 1 species